UGAGGAGAUUUUUAAUUGUGUUACAUCUUUCCAGAAGGUGGAGCUGCAGCAGCAGAAAUACAGACAUCACUGUGAUGGUGAUGGAGGGGAGGGCGGUCAUUAGAAUCCAGUGUUUAGGUGUUUGUCUUGGCGUUGAAGUCAAACAGACUCCUCCAGCCCUCCUCAGCCAACCUGGAGACACGGUCCAGCUGGUCUGCACCCAUGAAGAGAAAGACUUCUUCGUCAUGCAGUGGUACCAGAAAAGCCCCGGAGACAGCGCUCUGAAACGCAUCGGACAUGUGUAUUACACUACCAAAGAGUACGAGGAGCCCUUCAAGACGCAUUUCAACAUCACCGGAGAUAUGAGCGGAGAGACAGCAAAGAAUGGUUCUCUGUUCAUAGUUAACCUGAAGGCACCGGAGCACAGCGCGGUGUACUACUGCGCAGCCAGCUCAGCACGCUGA